CCGUGGUCCUUGGGGACCAGAGCUGUCAGCACGUGGCUGCAGGCAGCCCUGGGGACACGGGCAACCAGGUGUGUCUUGGGGAAAAGAUAAGUGAAGGUUCACAGACUUCAAAGACAUUCCUACAAACAUCACCUCCCACCACCUCCCUCACAAUGCCCUGGGUGUCUUACCCAGACUUUUCUCAGUAAACACAGGCCAUGUGGAAUGACACAAGAAGCACGAGAAAUGAUAAACAGCUGUUGAAAAGCAAGCAAGCACUCAUUAAAAGACACCCCUUGGAA